ensembl:snRNA U6 U6 spliceosomal RNA
GUGUCCCUUUGGCAGCACAUGUCUGGAAUGAUACAGAGAUUAGCACGCCCCCUGCGCAAGGAUGAUAGGCAAACUCGCGAACUGUUUCCUAGUAAA